rnacentral:rRNA from 1 species
GUUGAUACGAUCCACGUCGUAAUCCAUAUUAGAUUACCAAAUUUAUUAAAAAAAAAAGGAACAAACGAAGAAUUAGAGAAAGAUCUACAAAAGGAAAUUAACUCUGUAAACCAGAGAUUUGAUAUUUCUAUCAAAGUUAAUGAACCUUAUAAACAACCUAACAUUCUUGCAGAAUAUUUAGCUUUCCAAUUAAAAAUAGAGUUUUAUUCUAAAGGAAAUGAAAAAAGCCAGUGA